UAAGCCCAGGAAAUCCAUCCGGUCCUUGUGUACCCAUUUGACCAACUGGGCCUUGAGCACCAGGUAAUCCAGUUGGUCCUUUAGGUCCAGGUGGACCAAAUGGACCUGGAAGGC
rnacentral:pre_miRNA from 1 species